GUGGAGUCAGAGAGAAGCCAUGUAGCUCCGCUGAAGACAGACGCCGGAACUUUACCUGGGCUGAGCAGCUGGAAACAAACAAGCGGCCCUCCUACUACAUCUCCCUCCCUAAGAGCAUGCUGGGAUUACACAAUUGUGCAGCUGGCUUAGAUGUGGUUUCAGGGGAUCUGAAUUUUCCCAACUGAGCCACUGUCUCAGCCCCAACAUUUAUCAUUUCUAAGAAACACAAUAACCUGAUACUAAGAUAAAUAUUUUGAAAUAUAUACAUGAGUAAAUACACAAAUUAGAAAAGAGGUCUUCUAUACAUUGCUGUAGGUGUAUAAACUCUUCCAUUCACAUUGGAAAGCUGUGUGCAUGUCUCACAUCUUAGCCAGGCAUACCACAGGACUCCUCCUCGAGUGCACAUACCCAACACAAGACAGGCAAGAAUGUCGCACUAAUUUCAACAGCCCUCCCUGGUAUGACCUAGCGUCCACCAAUAGCAGGCAAGCGAAUACACACUGCCAUCUGGAGUGGAACAUGACAGAACACAAAAGCAGACAGGCUCGUAGGAACCUGGACACCGCGCAGAGACACAAACGGAGGAAACGGACAGCACAUGCCCCGUGAUUCAACUACACCAAGUUCUCCAGGAAAGCCGCCAGGACAGUGUGACCUCUGCAGGAGUCAGAGUAAGGGUCCCCUUCAGACAAGAGAGCCAAGCUGCAAAGAAGACUCUCAGGCCUGAGCAGCUGCCUGAAGAGGUACAGACCAACUGAGGCACUUGGAAAGGACAGCCUCUAGCCUGCAGGCUGUGCAGUGGGCUCCAGGUUCCCAGCCUUUGUGAGCUGUCACCUGUGCUGGGAGGGGCUUUGGGAAUGCAGCUAUCUGAGUAUUUCUGCUCCUGUAAGUGAUCCCUCACCCAUAUCCUUGUAAAAACCCCCAAUAAAACUCAUGGUUCACCAAGCUGGA